UUGUAGCUGUUGGUUUUUUCUUUGUUCGUAUUCUGCAGCAAGCCGCUUCUGCUCAGCCUCUUCUGUUAUCUUUAGUAAUUUCAACCUUCUUGAUUCCUCCUCGCGUUCCAUUUCCAAAAGUUGCCGUUCCUGCUCUUCCUUCCUUUUCUCAAUUAUAGAUUUACGAGCAAGCAGUCUCUUAUGCUCCUUAUCAACAAUAUCAGCCAAAUCAGGCAAUAUAUCACUUGUUUUUGAUGCCUUCAUAACUGGAGGAUAGAUCAUAGCUCUUGCUUUAUUUAAG
rnacentral:misc_RNA from 1 species